rnacentral:rRNA from 1 species
UACAGAGGGUGCGAGCGUUAAUCGGAAUGACUGGGCGUAAAGCGCGCGUAGGCGGUUAUACAAGUUGGGUGUGAAAUCCCUGGGCUUAACCUAGGAAUUGCAUUCAAAACUAUAUGACCUGAGUGAAGUAGAGGUGAGUGGAAUUUCCGGAGUAGCGGUGAAAUGCGUAGAUAUGCGGAGGAACACCGAUGGCGAAGGCAGUCCCCUGGGCCUGUACUGACGCUCAUGCACGAAAGCGUGGGGAGCAAACAGGAUUAGA